UACACACAGCAUGUAUUUAUAAGCAAUUAGAAAAUAUUCUCGGCUGCUUAAUAGGAACUAAUUGGUUAUAUCACGCUUUUCAAUUUGUAAAGCCUAUUCGUCCGCAUGAUCUCAAUCUAUCCUCCUUCCAACUCCAUGAAGUAAGCAAAUCAGGUAAUAGUCAUGUGAGGAAAGCCACAGCUUAGGGUGAUUAAAAUUCUUGCCCAGGGUUACGCAGCUGGUAAAUAGCAAGGCUGUAUCUCAGACCUGGGUCUUCUGAUUCUACAUUUCAUUUUCCAUUUUCCUCUCCAAUCCUUGUGUACUUAAUUCUUGACUCUAAAGGCAUUCAUUCGAUAGAGGUGUCAAAAUCCUCAAUGACAGCUCAUCAAGCAAAGCCUCCUGGUCUGAUACAUCUUCAGACAGACAGAGAGAGAGAGAGAGAAAUGCAAUUAUAGGAACUCUGCUUUAAAAGAAAUGGUUCAGAAAAGUUGGAUCUUUCUGGGAGAAUGCUUUUGCAAGGAGACAGCAUCGAACUCGGAAAGAGUUGAAUGAAGAUAGUUUAUGGAAACCUUGUCCUUUGAAUGUCUCCAGAGAGAAGAAUGCCUACCAAUUUCCUUCUUCUUUAGGCCUGUGCAUAGCUUCUAAUCAAAUUGGAGGCUGGGUAGAAGGCAGCCUUUCAUCCCUAAGAUACUCCAAUCAGCCACUCUCACAGCCUUCAUUUUCCAUGAAGAAGGUCCAGCAGUUCCUGAUAGAGAUCUUUCCUGGAAUAGUAAUAGGAAAAUAAUGCACAGUGAAGCUGACACACCACAUGCUGAGCUGUACUGAAGGGGGAGAGAGAGAGAGCAUAAGACAGAGAGAUCGCCCAUCCACUGGUUCACUCCCCAAAUGUUUACAACAACUUGGACUGAGUGUGGGGCUCCAUGGGAUGCGCAGCCAUGGAUCCCCCACAUCAAGGUCGGUCUGAUAGCUGUUGCUGUGUCUUUAUCACGAGGCGGAUGUUGCUAGUUUCGGUUAGGGCAAUGCUUUCCCAUGGUCGGGACUUUCCAGAGGAGUUGAGAAUGUUGUAAACAACAAGAUGGCACUGAGGACCGUGUGGUAAGCCUGCCUGCUGCGUGACACCUCAUCUGAUUGGCCUGAGGAUGCGUGCACACUGUGUGAACAGACAGCGGAUUGGAGUGUUCCGUGCAUGGACUUGAGCCCGCUUGUAAUUGGCUGGAUUUUGUAUAUAAGCUGUGUGCUGAGGAAGGAGGGGGCUUUUUCUUUCCACUCUCCUCCCUUCAUUCUUUCUCUGUCGCUGUUAUUUUCUUAUUAAAAGUCUACUGAAGACCGAUAAGCUGCGAACAGUGUCGUUCCUUUGCGGGCAAGGGAGCGACACUGAGCCAAACCGAAGCCAGGAGCGGGAACUUCAUCUGGAUUUCUCACAUGGGUGGCAGGGACCCAGGUAGUGAAGCCAUCAACUGCUGCCUCACAGGGUGUCCAUUAGCAGGAAGCUGGAAUCAGAAGCAGAACCAGGACUCCAUCAAAGGCACUCAAAUAUGGUAUAUGGACAUCCCAAAUGCCAUCUUAACCCCUGCACCAAAUAGUGGGCCAGAAAGUCACAUUCUUCCUGGUGACUGUGACAAUACGUAUUCUCUCUUGCAUGGUGUGAAGUCCCAGUAUCAUAUAUGCUUUUGGGAGUGUUGACUAUGGUGUACACUUGAUCUUAGCCAAAAGGUGGAGGAGGAAUACUAUGGUCUAACCAAUUGGUUUUCAGUUGGAAGCAUCAGCAUUUCCUGGGAAGAUUUAAAAAUGCAAACACUGAAACAGAAACUCUGGGAGUAGGGAAAAUCUGAAUUUUUGUAAACAUUGCAAUUGUUCUUAAUCACUCUAAAGUUUGGGAUUCAGUAGUCUCACAAUUUUUCCACUCUCUGCUGUGGUUUGCAUGUAUUCAUGGCCAGGUUCAUUUACUUUUGUUUAAUUGCUAUUUGAGAUUGUGUGUGGCCAGACAAUGGAGCUCCUGAUAAAUAAUUUUCUUUUUUAUUCUGGCACAUACCAGUAAAAUUUGGAAUUCAACCAACGUUGCACAAUCAACUCUGUUGCUUAGAUUGUUUUUUAAUGCAAUUUUGUUUCAAUGCAAUUGAUACAUUGGAAAACAAGUUUAAUAUCAGGGAAAAUUUACAUUUGUUUAUGUACUCUGUCUCUGAUAGGCAAGCUAGUAAAAUGCUGAAUUGUAUCUUGUAGGAAUAAAACACACACACACACUUCACAAGGAUAAGCAGUGGUCCACACACAUUCACAUAUGGUCUUAAAACUUCCCGUUGAUUUCAGAAAACUUUCCUUCCACAACUUCAAAAUAAAGCACAAGCUACAACUCUCCACAAAUAAACUAAAUAUAUUGCAUCCAUUUUUUAUUUCUGUGGUUUUUUUUGUAUUUAUGUAUUUAUUAAUGAAUUAACAUUUGUAAAACAGUGCUACCAUUUUAUUAGCUAUUUUUUUAAUUUUCCACUGACAUCCCAUCACCUAUGAUUUUUCCUAUGGAUUUUGUAUAGCAGAAAGAUUUUUAGAAAAUCCUAUGUUGCAUUGAAACAGUACUGAGAGUAACUUGAGGAAAACUUAUUAACUUAAUACUGUUAAAUCCUUAUUCCAGAACAUUUUUUUAAAUUUUAUAUUUAAAAUUAUUUUGUUUCCUCAUAGGUAGCACAAAAAAGAGCUGAAUUCAAUGUGUUCACUGAAAGGAAGUGUACCCCUUUUAAAUAUAUGCAAGUUUUCCUAUUGCUAUUCUAUCUAACAUUCAGGCUUUAGUUAUCCAUGCAUUAUCAUUUGUAAGUCAAUAGUUUUUAUCAAAAAUUCUUUUUAUUUAUUUGAAAGGCUCAGAAAGAGAAAGAGAUAUUUCUUCCAAGCAAUAUUUCACUUCCCAAAUGCGCACAACAGGUGGAAAUGAGCAAGAUUGAAGGCAGAAUCUGGGAACCCAGUUGGAGUCCCCAAUGUGGGUGGCAGGGACCCAAGUACUCAAAUCCUCACCUGCUGCAUCCUGAGAAGUUGUAUUCAGAGGUGUAGCCAGGACAUCAACCCAGGCACUCUGAUAUGGGAUGCAGGGGUUCCAAACAGCAUAUUAACUGCUGCACCAAACACCUGCCCUCACCUCAUCUUCAGAUACUAAAACAUAUCAGCCUCCAUUAGAGAAAACAUUGCAAGAAAAAUUACAUUUUUUUAAAAAAAAAUGGUUUAUUUAUUUAUUUAUUUGACAGGCAGAGUUACAGAGAGGCAGAGGCAGAGAAAGAGAGUGAGGUCUGCCAUCCGCUGGUUCACUACCCAGGGGGCCACAACAGGCAGAGCUCAGUUAUCCAAAGCCAAAAGCCAUGAGCUUCUUCUGGGUCUCCCACGUGGGUGCAAGUGACAGGGGCCCAGGAUUUGAGCCAUCCUCUACUGCUUUCCCAGGCCAUAGCAGAGAGCUGGAUAGGAAGUAGAGCUUCUGGGACUCGAACUGGCACCCGUAAGGGAUGUCAGUGCUGCAGGCUGGAAUUUUAAGCCACUGCACAACAGCCCCACAAUGCCAGUCCCUACAUUUAUUCAGAGUUUCUUCUCUAUUUGAUUAUCAAUUAUACUAAUAUACAAAUACUUGCUUCUCUUCUCUGUUCUUGGAACAGAUUGAUUGACAAAAGCCAACACAUUUUUAUAGAAAUGUGAGGAGAUUGACAUUAUAAUAAGAUUUAGAAGCAAAGCCUGGUGAUUAUCAUCAUUAUUGUUAUAAUUUCCUUGAAUAUAUAUUUGUUAAUCCUACUUACUGUUUUCUAAAAGAAUUUUGGAGGCCUGCACUAUAGCACAGUGUGUUAAGCUGCUGUCUGCACAGCCCACAUCCCACAUGGAUGCUGGUUCCUGUCCCAUUUGCUUCACUUCCAAUCCAGCUUCCUGCUUAUGCACCUUGGAAAGAAGUGGACAAUGGCCCAAGUACUUGGGCGCCUGUCACGCAGCUGGGAGACCUGGAUGAAGUUCCAGGCUCCUGGUUUUGGAGAGGUCAUCUAUAGAGUGAACCAGAGGACAGCAGAUCUCUUUCCCGGCUGGUGCUGUGGUGCAGCGGGUUAAAGCCCUGGUCUGCAGGGUCAGCAUCCCAUAAGGGCGCCGGUCACUUCCAAUCUAGCUCUCUGUUGUGGCCUGGGAAAGCAGUAGAAGAUGGCUCAAGUCCUUGGGCCCCUGCACCCAUGUGGGAGACCCAGAAGAAGCACCUAGCUCCUGGCUUCGGAUAGGCAUAGCUCCGGCCAUUGCGGCCCUCUGGGGCGUGAACCAGUGGAUGGAAGACUUUCUCUCUCUCUCUCUCUCUCUCUCUCUCUCUCUCUCUCUCUCUGCCUCUGCUUCUCUGUAACUCUGCCUUUCAAAUAAAUGAAUAUAUCUAAAAAAAGAAAGAUCUUUCUCUCCCUUUCUCACUGUACUCUGCCUUUCAAAUAAUUAAAUAUAUCUUAAAAAAGAAUCUGUCUCUCC